GGAGCCACUCGGCUGAGAAUUGCUGUUCCCGUCCCUCGUCCUUGUCACGUCACCACUCUCCGUAACGGGCUCCGAGCCGUGAAUGUGGUUGCUCGAAUCUGCAACUUGUUAAUGUUCCAAGUGAACAGCCAAGAAGGGACCUCAGAUUAAUGGCAUUUACGCUGCUGGAAUAUCAGUAAGGAGAAGAGUGACGCAAAAGGAGUUCUGAAUCCCAGAAUGGAAGAUAAUGAAAAUUUCACUUUUCUGCUGGAGGCACACUGCAGGAGUAUUAAGAGCCAGAAAGUGAAACGGACUACAUCUGGGAUGCGCACACUACGGGGAUUUCUGUAAAAGUCUGUAAUCCUGCAAAGGUAUACACCUGUUGGACAAUCAGAAGGGCUACUUCAUUCCUAUGGACCCCAAAUCAGAAUUCAACAUAUAUAUAUUUUUACUAAUAUACAUUUAUACAUUGUUUGAAGUACUAAUUGUAUGUUACUUGUUAACCUAAAACCAUGGGCGGAGACAUUAUGUAAUCUUUGACCAUUGGCUACUGUGCUUAUCUUGUCUUGCUGCUAGACCUAUCCAGGGGUUUGGGACUACCUACCCUGUCACUUUCCUCCGCCCAUGGAAAAUCCAUAUAAUUUACUGUAAUCAAUUGAUUGACAGUGUCUCUGAGCCUAAUAAGCAAGGUGACACUCCACCAGCGCUGUGCGUAAUAAACCCACCUGCUUGAUUCUA